rnacentral:lncRNA from 1 species
AUGGGUGCAGCACAGUCGAUUCCGGUGGUCGGAGAAAUCGUCACUGCUGUUGAUAGCAGUGUGAAGAUAGUUGUAGCAGGUGGUUGCGCUCUUGCAGGAGAGAUACUAGACGACCAGGAUGCUAAAGAUGCUGCCAAAAAGUUUGUAAAGGAUGCUGGGAAUUCUUGGGUUGAAUAUUCCGAGAGAAGUCUAAUUGUUGCUCCAGUUCGUGCAGCUGUUCAUAGUGCUGCUGGUGACGAGGCUGAAGCGAAGAGAGUCCUGAAGAAGAUGGGUAAAUCAACUGAGCAAGUUAUUGACAGCACUCCAGUUGUUGGGCACGUAAAAGGUGUAGUUCACUACGCAAUGGGGGAUAAGGAACAUGGUCAUGAUUGCAUGAAGGGUGCCAGUCGCACAUUGGUUGUGGUGGGAGCUGGAGCUCUAACUGGUGGAGUUGGAGGAGGAUUCGUUCUUGGUGGACUAGCAGGCGCAUCAGGUGGUGUUGCGUACGAUGGAACGAUAUCUGCAAUUGAAAGUAAGCCUUAUGGAAUUGUAGAAUCUAUCGACCAGGCAAUUGAAUCUGAUAAAAAGAGAGAUGGUCACGGUUUCCUCAACUCAGCAAUAAAUGUUGCAUACUCUGUUACCGGAGAUUUUCUUACCGGAGCUACUGCGGCAAAGGGCACCAAGGAGUUGAACAAAGCUUCAAAGCAAAGGAAAGUGUUGAAAAAUGAAAUUGGAAAAGACGCCGCCAAGGAUGUUGUAGACACUGGCAAGAAGUUAAAAAAAGUAAUGAAGAAAGUAAAUGGAGAUGACCACGUUUGCACGAAAGCCAAAAACCUGGAAACAGGAAACGAAACUUACGGGACAAACAAACGGUGCAGACAAGAGAUGAGAAUGAAUGAGUAUGCCUCGAAAGGUGAAGCUAGUGGAUACACCAGUAAAACAAAUGCUAGGAAAGGACAUGUCGGUGAAUUCCCAAGAAAGGCAGGAAUCCUUGAAAAAACAGCAAAUGAGAUGAAUAUGGAUAUUGAGCCGAAAGUAAGCAAUCGAGCUCUAAAUGCUUGUGCUGAACAUCAUGCCAUUGAGAAGCUGGGUACUCACGGGCCGAAACUAAUAUCCGUACAACUACUGUCAAGUCUAGUAAUGGGCAUAUCACAGCUAUAA